rnacentral:rRNA from 1 species
CAGUCGCCACGGGAAUACGAGGGGGGCAAGCGUUGUUCGGAAUUAUUGGGCGUAAAGGGUGCGUAGGCGGUUCAGCAAGUCUCGUGUGAAAUCUUCGGGCUCAACCCGAAGUCUGCACGGGAAACUACUGGGCUUGAGUAAUGGAGAGGUGAGUGGAAUUUCCGGUGUAGCGGUGAAAUGCGUAGAUAUCGGAAGGAACACCUGUGGCGAAAGCGGCUCACUGGACAUUUACUGACGCUGAUGCACGAAAGCUAGGGGAGCAAACAGGAUUAGAUACCCCCGUAGUCCCUGUCUCUUAUAC